rnacentral:ncRNA from 1 species
GUAAAUCCUAAGACUGGAGAGAGUAGUCGGGUUGAGUUUGAUACAGAGAGUUGCAAGUAGCUGAGAUUGCAGCAUAAAUAAAUUCGGUGAAUGGGUCCACGAGGAGAUAGGUGAAUUAUAGUAGCCGAACCGUCACUGCACGUUACGCAGAAGAGAGAUACACGAUAAGUGUAUAAUUUAGGUGGUACCGCGGUAAUAUCGUCCUAGUG